UGGCCAAUGAGGCUAGGGGGCUUCUGGGAAGGAUUUUCUUCCUGAUAAAAAAGACCUCCAUGAGGAGAAGGACUGUUUCGUUUCUAUCUCCUUCUUUCCUGCUCGCGAACAUGUCAGGAGAGAAUGGGAUUGUUGGAGAGGUGUGGCUUGAGAGAUGUGGCUUGACAUCUUGAUGUGCUGACACGCUGAUGGUCACAAAGCAGAAAGAUGAUAGUGGCCUGCCACCGGAGAGGCCACAGGCUGGAGCAAGGAGCUGACUCAUGGGGUAGGGAGAAAAUGGCCUGGAUCUUUGACAGAGGGUGUUUUUUUUUGUUUGAUUUGGUAAUUUUAAACUCUUCUCUUGGAAAUGUUUCUCAAGAUUCAAGUAAUUCCUAGUAUUCUACUGCUGAAGGACAUUUCUGAAAAUUUAGAAAGGAUUCCAAGAAAUCAAUAAGAAAAAGACGAGCCAGCCCUGAUGGUCUAGCUGUUAAAGUUUGGUGCACUCUG